rnacentral:lncRNA from 1 species
GACCAAAUGUCCAAAAACCCCUUUUUCCAAAUAGUUUUCACGUCAACUUCUCCUCCCCCAUAUUGGUGCCAUCCCUUUGUUUUCCCUUUAACUCCCCCAAUCAAUUUUUACUUCUAAUUCCUAAUCCUCUUUGAUUUCUAUCACCCUUGAACCUUAAAACCUCCAUUUAAACCAAGAAAAACACCCAAAAACUUCAUCAUCUACAUCAUCUUCUCCAAAUGUGGGCCAAAAUAAAACCAAAAUAUAUAUAUUAAAGUUCACUUAUAAAAAACAGAUUGGCCUAAACAACAAACAAAUAAAUAAAAAAACCCUAAAGCCCAAACACACUAGCCCAAUAGCCCAUAACCUAAACAAGUAAGAAGAAACCCUAGCUCCCUCUCGCGUUGCAGCCUUGCCAGGUCAGCAGGCAUGUCGUCUCACACCUCCUCUACCACCACCGCUAUUGACUUCACCCUCUGCCCCCAC